ensembl:lncRNA
AGUACUUUCAGGAGAAGGAAAAACCUUUUCCCCUUUUAAAAUUUGGAAGGCAGAAAAUACAGAGAGGAUAGUGGGUAAAAACAAGCGAAAAUGUGGGAACCGAAUUAAAAUAUUCCUGACUUCUGGCACUCACCCAGAGUAAAUGAACAGUGUGCAUGCACUCUGAAAAGCUAGAAAAUGCCAUAUAUAUAUUUAUAUUUGAUGUGAUGGGUGCAGAGUGGUGGUUGCUCCCAGCCAGGUCAUUUCAAUAACAACAGGAGACCACAGUUCCUGCUGAAUGGCAUCUUUCAGGCUGAAGAGCUUCCGCCGUCUCUCCACUUCCAUACUGAUUAGAAGUGCUUGAGAUACAUCAUAACAGUGUCAGUGCAGUGUUUAUGGGGGAAAUUGUCGCUGUCUCUUGCUUGUGGAAGGUGACAUAAUGGGAUUUCUUCCCUUUGUCCUGGUGACAGGAUGAUGAGCACUGUGUAGGCUCCAGUUCCGCAUGCUUUGCCAUUCAGGCAUCCGGCGCAGCUGACAAGCCCGAGGAUCCAUGGAGAAGAAUCAGCAUUUCAAGCACCCAAAAUGUGUAGAAGAAUAUGGACCAAAGAAAGGAGCAGAAAGACAAAUAGAGGAAUGGAGAAUUUUGCCUGCGACUAUGAUGUUCUCAAGUGCUGAAACCCAGGUCCAGACAGGGAGUAAAUCAUCUCCCCAAGGGCACAAAGUGAGAGAGCUGGAAUUUGAAUCCUGUUCUGUGUCCUUCUGCUAUACACCAGGAAUCGAGCAAGACUUGUUACAGGAUAAGAGAGAAGGAGAGAAGAAGUGAUGUUACCAGGAAGAAGAGCCCUUGUCUGCCCUGCUUCAAACUGGUGGGUGAGCCACACAGUGAAGGGCAGGGGAACAGCUAUCAGCUGGCCAGGGCAGCUCACAGCCACUCAGACAAGAGCUCGGUGGUGAGGGCUGGGCAAGCAGGGAAGUGUGGGGAGGAGAGGGGGUUAAAGGAUCAGAGAGCUACUGAUUUCAGGGUGAGCUGAGAAUCAGAUACUUUGUGUAUGAUCAGAUUAACAAAUGCAAUGUUAUAUGCCUGCUAAUACAGUGACUGGUAGACAGUAAGUGUUCAGCAAACAGCAAACAUUAUUUUGCCUUUUUCCUCUUUCAGAGCUGCCCCCUUCCACUAAGGGCAGGAGUCCCUCCUCUUCUAUAGGAUACACCUGUUGGCUUGUUUGUCCAUCCUUCCCCUUUCUGGAACUUGUUCUUCAUCAACAUGAUCAUGGGGACAGCCAUGUCCAGACAGUGUUGCCUGUAUUAGCCUAUUUUGUGUUGCUCUAAAGAAAUACCUGAGGCUAGUAAUUUAUAAAGGAAAGAGGUUAAUUUGGCCCAUGGUUCUGCAGGUUGUACAAGAAGCCUGGCACCAGCGUCUGCGGCUGGUGAGGCCACAGGAAGCUUCCACUCAUGGUGGAAGGUGAAGUGGGGACAGGCAUGUUAUAUGGCAAGAGCAGUAGCAAGAGAGAGAGAGCAGAGGUACCAGGCAACCAGCUGUCAUGGGAACUAAUGAGCAAGAACUCACUCACCAACAAGGCGACAGCCCCAACCAUUCCUGAGAGAUCUGCCCCCUGACCCAAACACCUCCCACCAGGCCCACCUCCAGGACUGGGGUCAGAUUUUCACAUAAGACCUUUAUUAUCAAUGUCUGUCCAUCUGGACAUCCAAACUAGAUCACCACCUUUGGUCUUUGGGAAAUUCAGAAGGACUAUGCACUAGAGAAAAGCAACUCCUCUGGCCUGGGAGUUUUGGACUUUUUGCUUUUCAUGUGUGUUUGCUUUUAUCAAAGCAGGGAAUCUGCUACUUGCCUGACACAACCUCAUUUGGAUCCUGAAUUGGGGCCCAAGGACGUCCCAAAGCACUGCCUGGGAAUGCCAAUUUCUCAUCAUGAAUUAGAAAUCAACGCUAGCAGCGUCCCUGCUAAGUAAAAAAAUUACAUAAUUCCUUCUGCACCACUGCAUCAGGCUGAUUUUUUUCCCCCCUUUUCCUGAAUGUACAGUAAAUCCCUAGUGGUUUAAGCCAUGGUGCCUCUCUUUAAACACAAUAUGAAAUCACUACCAAAUUUAAAUAAAAAAUAAAUUCUGUGUUGUGUUAGGAGACUCUCCUGCCAAAAACUCUCACACAAUUAACACACUAGCAGAAUGUGUUGCUAAUUUCAUGCCACUGGAGUCUUUUCUGCUUCAGAAUAUAGAAACAAAAUCAGGUCAGAGCUCCAAUAAUAACAGGAUUUUGUUAAAAUAUACAGCCCUGUGUUGUAGAUAUGUUGUAGGCAUGGGUGAAAAGUAGAAUCACAGUGAUGCAUGAAAUAGCUCACUACUGCAAAUAGAAGUGGAAGGACUUGUCUCCAGCUUCUUUAGAGAGAGAGAGAGAGAGAGAGAAAGGGGUGGUGGGGAGAGAAGAGAGAGGGAGUGGAGAGGUGAAGAGAGAUGGGGGAAGAGAGGAAGAGAGACAGAGAGAGGGGGAGACAGGUAGAGGGAGAGGAGAUAGGUGGGGAGAGAGGGAAAGAGAGGAGAGAGAGAGGGAGACAAGAAGAGAGCGAGAGAAAGGAGAAAGAAGAGAGAGAAGGUAGGAGAAAGAUAGGGAGAGAGAGGCAGUGAGAAGAGAAAAAAGAGAGACAGGGAGAGAGCGAGAGAGGAGGAGGGAGAGAAAGAAAAAGAGAGGAGAGAGAAUGGGAGAGAGGGAAAGAAGAGAGAGGGGGAGACAAGAAGAGAGGGAGAAAGGAGAGAGAGAGAAGGUGGGAGAAAGGGAAAGAGGCAGUGAGGAGAGAGAGAAAAGAGUCAGGGAGAAAGGAGACAGAGAAGGAGGGAGAGGGAGGAGGAGAGAGAGAAAGAAAGAGAGGAGAGAGGUAGGAAGAAAGGGAGAAGAGAGGUAGAGAGAGAGGAGAGACAGGGGAAGAGAGGUAGAGAGAGAGAGGGGGGCACAGGGAGAAGAGAGAGGAAAGAGAGAUGGGGAGGGGGGGGAGAGAGAGAAAGAGAGAGAGAGAGAGAGAGAGAGAGAAAGAAAGAAAGAAGAGGAAAGGCAGGCAGGUGGAGAGAGUUAGUUCAGCUCAGUCCAAGCCCACACCCACCAGGUUCUGUGCGAAAGGGUUUCAUUAUCAAUGGGAGUCCCUCCAGACAUCCACAUACUUUUACAGGGGGAGGCAAAUGCCAGGCAAAGAAACUAGGGAAACACAAGCCCAAUAAAUCACAGCUAGGAUUCUAAUUCCCCUGGUCCUCUCUGAGGCUUCCUCCCUCCACCUCUUAGCCUCCUUACACUGGGCUUCGUCUUUUCCAUAACAAAAACAGCGAUAAUGAAAAUAUUUUGGCAGCAUUGAGGUCUUUUCACAUCGUGACCCUGACCUCCAAAUCAAUUUUCUUUAUUCUUAACCUGACCUUGGCAUCUAUUCUCCCUGGCGUUCAAUAUUAGUUACAAAAUCUUGAACUCCCGGAGACCUUCCCUCCUCCCGGGAUAACCAAGGCAGGCCACGCUGGGGAAGCUCUGGCGAGGACAGAGAAAGAAGGCUUCUUGACAAAGAAAAAUCAUAACGCGAUAAACAAGCCCGAUGCCUUCUAUAGAAGUCUCAUUUGAGCCAAACGCUAUUAGCCCCAGUAUUUACUCAGACAACGGUGCAGGCAGCCCGGGCUCCCUGCUUGCGUGGGGCGCUGUGGAGUGCAUCGUGCAUCACCAGCGGCCGGGGUGCUUCCCUUAAAUAGUAAUAUGUAAGGUAGAGCGUGUUGCAUUCCAUCCAUCACCCAUGGGCUCGCCCUGUGCAGAGACUGGAAAAAUUGCUCACAUUUCUCCAUUGCUGCACUAAUACUAGAAAGGGAGUGAACUGAACAGAGAAAGUGCCAAUUUCAGCACACAUGUUAAAAGAGAAGCAAAGAAUAGAAGAGAAAGCAAGCAUCUCCCGGACUGAGACGCUGGGGGAGGGUGGGGGAGGUUUUUAAAGGAGAAGACUGCUUUUCACAACUCUUGUGCAUUGACCAUGAGAAUAAGGACCCACUGAGACAAGAGUUCGGGGUCAGCAUACAUUUAGGCGGAGAAGUUGGCUGGCAGGGGCUAUUUUUCUGCAAAUUAGUUUUCUCUCUCAAGGGUAACGGUGGGGGAGGAGCAGAGGAAAAUGAAUUGAGCCCGCUGAAUAAUCGCGUAUUGUUCGGCCGGUUGCCGUGACCUAUGAACUGAUGAUGCUCCGAGAAGUGUUUCCAGGCCUUCCUUUCAUAUGGGCCAGGAUGCGAAGCCUCUCACAGCUGUUGACCAGUGUCCUGAAGGGGUAGCCCCACAAACAAUGGUCACAGAGCAUCGGCUCCACUCGGCAAGAGAGGCACCGUCUGCUGGUCAGUACAGCCGACUGCAGAGCUGGACAGGUGGCCAGGCAGGACGGCGAGAAGAGGCAGAGUCCAAACUUUAUGCUGAUCACAAAGAAUUGAGAAAAAGGGGCAAAGUGGAAAACACAGUGUAGCAGAACACCAUAGAUCGAUCGGCUUUUCUUGGGGAUUAGAAGGACCAAGAGCUCUGUAGUGGUUCGAACGGUCCAGUGCAAAUGGCAUUCUUCUAGGAAGUGUGCAAAUUAAAAGUGAAUCGAUUCACCUAAAUGCAUGUGUGCCUCAUUGUUUUCACGUCCAGAAUCUGCCUGGAAUGCACAGCCUCGUGUUCUUCCUUCGGACAUUUUAUCAUGCUCACGUUGGCAUCAGAAAAUCCUGCAUCAUCUAAACUGGUGCUUCUCUGCUCCCUUAAGCACCCGAAUGCAGGUGAGCUAAAUGUGCAGAGACUCUAAGGUGAAGCCGGGAGGGACCCCUCCCAAGGGAGAGCCUUCUUUGAAGUCUUAUACUUCUUAUCUUUUAAAAAGUACCUAAAACGGGGCCGGGCGCGGUGGCUCAAGCCUGUAAUCCCAGCACUUUUGGGAGGCCGAGGCGGGUGGAUCACGAGGUCAAGAGAUUGAGACCAUCCAGGUCAACAUGGUGAAACCCCGUCUCUACUAAAGAUACAAAAAAUUAUCUGGGCAUGGUGGCGCCUGCCUGUAAUCCCAGCUACUCAGGAGGCUGAGGCAGGAGAAUUGCCUGAACCCAGGAGGCGGAGGUAGCGGUGAGCCGAGAUCGCGCCAUUGCACUCCAGCCUGGGUAACAAGAGCGAAACUCCGCCUCAAAAAAAAAAAAAAAAAAAAAAAAGUACCUAAAACAGAUAUAUUGUGCAGCAGUCUGAAGUUUAACAUUACAGAUACCAUUUUAAUCCCUUCAGCUCCUCAAUUCUAGGAUUUCAUUCUAAGAUUCAGCUCAAUCUGUAUCAGACAAAAAAGAACAAUUACCAAUUUAAUGCAUAUUUUGAGUUGAGGAGG